ensembl:snRNA U6 U6 spliceosomal RNA
GUGCUCAUUUCGGCAGCAUAUAUACAAAGAGUGGAACGAUACAGAGAAGAUUAGCAUGGCCCCUGCACAAGGGUGACACACAAAUUUGUGAUGUGUUCCAUAUUUUU